AUUGAACGCUGGCGGCAUGCCUUACACAUGCGAGUCGAACGGUAACAGGUCUUCGGAUGCUGACGAGUGGCGAACGGGUGAGUAAUACAUCGGAACGUGCCCGAUCGUGGGGGAUAACGGAGCGAAAGCUUUGCUAAUACCGCAUACGAUCUACGGAUGAAAGCAGGGGACCGCAAGGCCUUGCGCGGACGGAGCGGCCGAUGGCAGAUUAGGUAGUUGGUGGGAUAAAAGCUUACCAAGCCGACGAUCUGUAGCUGGUCUGAGAGGACGACCAGCCACACUGGGACUGAGACACGGCCCAGACUCCGACGGGAGGCAGCAGUGGGGAAUUUUGGACAAUGGGCGAAAGCCUGAUCCAGCCAUGCCGCGUGCAGGAUGAAGGCCUUCGGGUUGUAAACUGCUUUUGUACGGAACGAAAAGCCUCUUUCUAAUAAAGAGAGGUCAUGACGGUACCGUAAGAAUAAGCACCGGCUAACUACGUGCCAGCCGCCGCAGUAACAC
rnacentral:rRNA from 1 species